UACGAAGGGGGCUAUCGUUGCUCGGAAUCACUGGGCGUAAAGGGUGCGUAGGCGGUUCUUUAAGUCAGGGGUGAAAUCCUGGAGCUCAACUCCAGAACUGCCUUUGAUACUGAAGAUCUUGAGUUCGGGAGAGGUGAGUGGAACUGUGAGUGUAGAGGUGAAAUUCGUAGAUAUUCGCAAGAACACCAGUGGCGAAGGCGGCUCACUGGCCCGAUACUGACGCUGAUGCACGAAAGCGUGGGGAGCAAACAGG
rnacentral:rRNA from 1 species